rnacentral:rRNA from 1 species
UACGGGGGGGGCAAGCGUUGUUCGGAAUUACUGGGCGUAAAGGGCUCGUAGGCGGCCAACUAAGUCAGACGUGAAAUCCCCAGGCUUAACCUGGGAACUGCGUCUGAUACUGGAUGGCUUGAAUUCGGGGGAGGGAUGCAGAAUUCCAGGUGUAGCGGUGAAAUGCGUAGAUAUCUGGAGGAAUACCGGUGGCGAAGGCGGCAUCCUGGACCGGCAUUGACGCUGAGGAGCGAAAGCUAGGGGAGCAAACGGG